rnacentral:tRNA from 1 species
GGGGUUGUGGCUCAAUGGUAGAGUGCUCACCUAGAGCAGGUGGGGCACUGAGUUCUAUCCUCAGAACCACA